UUUGGAACAAGGUCUAUGUGCAUUAAGAUGUCGGAACCUCUGAGCUUUAGGGUGGGAAAAAAACCCCUCAGGUUUUCAUGAUACGGUCCUUGCCUCCCUUCUAGCCCUAUGUCUUGAACAUCAACUAGUCUUAUUACACUUUAAAUCCCACUGAGCUACUCAUUUCUCCUUGGUACUAUCAAAGCCACUUAGACACACUUCCACGAACAAGCACUUUCACUUUUAAUUGUCUGGCUCCCCACUAGUUUUUGAGCCUCUUUAAGGUCUGGGCUAUAUCUUAUUCAUCUCAAUAUGUCUAGCAUAAGGAGAUGAAUAAAUAUUGGUUAACUAAAUGUGCUGGUUUAUUUAAAAAACUAAUCUUAUGACUCUUUUUUGUCUUGGGCACAUAGCUGCAGACUUUCUCACAGAACAUCACUACAGUGUUACAUUUCUAAUGUGGAUAUUAUAAUAAAGUUGGCAGUGGGCAUGUUCAUGUAAGAACUAUUUUAAUGGCUGAAAAGUUUAACUUUAUGUCCCUGUCAUGUACAAGGACAGUGACAGGAUCCUUGGUUGGAUCAGAAAUGCAGCUUUUCCCCUGAGUUUCAGGAUGUGCAUAAAGAAGGAAAUGAUGUUUUCUUUAGCUCACGUGUGUAUGUGUGUAUGCAUGCACACACAGAGCUUAGUCCCUGGUGGGUAAUAUUCAAAAAGUACUCUGCCUCAGUGGAAGAAGUACAGACUUAAAGAUCAAAGUAUUACACACAGAGCACAACAACCUGGCCAAAACUCUAGUUCCUUCUUUGUUGGGGAUCAUCAAAUGGUUGUUUUUAACAUGGUUAAAACAUACUUUUCAAGUGUUUGUUUGAAAACAUUUAUUUAGUCUUUCAGACAUUCUCAGAGCUAUUCCUUGGUUGAUAAAACCACUUCCUGCUAGUCUGAGAUUGGAAUGUUUUGAGCAGGGGAAGAAAGGCAUAAAAUUAGGAUGAAAAAGAACAGGGGCCAGAUCACGUAGGGCCAUUUAGGCUUUUAAAGAUUACAGAGUUUAUCCUAAGAGGAGUGGGAAGCCACUGAAGGAUUUUAAACAGGGGAAAUGCCAAACGCCAUGAUCCAAUUUGCAUUUUAAAAAGACAACACUGACCAAAAAACAUGAAAUACUUAGGCUUAAGUCUAACAAAAUAUGUGCAAGAUGCACAAUCUCUAUGCAGAAAACUACAAAACGCUGAUAAAAAGUAUCAAAGUCUUAACAUAAAUGGAGAGAGAUACCAAGUUCUCUCAGUACUCUUAAGGUGCCAAUUUUCCCCAAAUUGCUCUGUAGAUUCAACAUAAUUCUAAAAAAAAUCCAAGCAGGAAGUUUUUGUAGAAAUCAACAAGCUAAUUCUAAAAUUUAUUCAGAAAGGCAAAGGAACUAGAUUAGCCAAAGCAAUUUCAAAAAAGAACAAAGUUGGAGGACUCACAUUACCUGAUUUCAAGACUUAGCAUAAAGCUACAGUAAUCCUGACAAUGGGUUAUUGGCCAAGGAUAGAAAAAUAAAUGGGAGAAUGGGGCCAGCAAAUACCAGCUCAUAGGCCAAAUCUAGCCUGUCGCCUGCUUUUAGAUGUCCCUAAGCUAAUGGUGCUUUUAAAAAUUUUAAAUGAUUGAAAAAUUCAAGAGAAUGGUAUUUUGUGACAAGUGAAGAUUAUACGAAAUCCCAAAUAGAGUGCCCAUAAAUAAAGCUCUACUGGAACAUAGCCAGGCUCAUUUGUUUCCAUAUUGUCUCUGGUGGCUUUGUGCUAUGAUGCAGAGUUGAGCAGUUCUGACAGACUGCAUGUGGCGCUCUCAUCAUUUUGCAGGGCUUUUUAAGCACUCGACAAACUGGGGCGUUUCUACUGCUACAUGUAUCACCCAUGCGAAAAGAUAUUUUUCAGAGAUAAAAAUAUGUCAAGUUUCACUACACAUAUGCAUUAAUAAAUGAAAUCUGUAAUCACAUUUGAUGAGAGGAAACACUAACUUAGCACCCUAGUUAAGCAAAAUGUUAUCCCUCUCCCAGAAAAGAAUUCCAUUCUUUGGAUUAGUAGAGCUGCAUUUCAGAAAAUUGUACUUAAUUAUUAUACUUUAAAUUUUAUUUAAAAAAUUCUCAGAAAUAUGUUUUAUCUUAUUAUACAAGUACUUACACAGUAUCUUCAAUUUUGCCUUUUGGUCUGUAAAACCUAAAAUAUUUACGAUCUAGUUCUUUACAGAAAAAUUCUGCUGACCCCUGACAUAGAUCAAAACAGACACAGAACAAGGAGAGUCCAGAAAUAGGACUGUGCAAACACAGGCAACUGAUAUUUGCCUACAGCAAUGAAAAUUCUUUUCAACAAAUGUGCUAAACAAUUAGAUAUUCAUAAGCAACAAAGAAACUUCAUUCAUACCACACACCUCAUACACAAAAAUUAACUCAAAAUGGAUCAUAGAUCUAAGUAUAAAAUGCAAAGCUAUAAUACUUUUAGGAGGAAAAAAAUGGGAGAAAAUCUUUGUGACCCUGAGUUAGGCUGAGUUCUCAGAUCAACACAAAAAGCCUGAUCCAUUUAAAAAAACAAUUUGGAUUUUAUUAAGAUUAAAAAUGUUUGCUCUGACAAAGAUACUGAUAAAAGAAUGAAGACAAGCUACAGAUGAAGAAUUUUUGCAAGUAAAUAUCUGACAAAGGACUUUGUAUCCUGAAUAUAUGAAGAACUUCCAAAAUUCAAUGAAAGAAAACAAAUCUGAUGUUUUUUCUUAAAGGCAAAAAGUUUGAGCAGAGAUAUAUGGAUUGCAUAUAAACUUGUGAAAGGAGCUAAAUAUCCUUAGUCAUACAGAAAUGCACAUUGAAACUACACUGAGCUACCACUAUGCCUCCCCUAGAAUGGUUACAGUUAAAGCAAAAAUGAAAAGCGAUGCUAGGGAGAAUGUGGUAACAAGUGAAAUUCACAUGGCACUGAUGGGAAUGUAGAUGGCACAGCCCCUCUGGAAAAGAGUUUGGUAGUUUCUUAUAAAGUUAAAUGUAAGCUUUCCAUGGGGCCCAGCAGUCUUACCCCUAGAUAUUUACCCAAGAUAAAUGAAAAGUUAUAUUUACACUAAAGCAUGUACACAAAGGUUUAUAGGCAAAAACUGGAAUAAUCCAAAUGCAUGGUGGUGGUUAGAUGACUACAUCCAUUUGUCAAAAUUCAUUGAAUUUGACACUAAAAAAAGAUUUAUUACUGUACAUAAAUCAAACCUCAAUAACAUAUGACUCAAAAAGCAAGACAGCUUUGGUUGUUAUAUGGAAAAUAAAUUGGGGGAACACGACAGGAAUCCAGGAGGCUGUUCAAAGGGCCACUGUGAGCAAAAUAAGAUAUGAUGAGGACCUGGAUUAGGAUGGGGCAUCAGGGAAGCCAGAGAAACGUAGAUGCAUGAAUGAUUAGAUUCUGGAGAGAGUAAUAGGUAUUGAGAUUUUGGGUUUAUGUAUUUAAAUGAUUUGUAGGGCCAUUUACUGAAAUAAACCAUGUUGGAGGAGGUGUGACUUUUAGAGACUACCGUUAUUAAGUCCAUAUUUUGUUACCAUAUAAUAGAGGAAGCAGUUGAAUUUAGAAGUCUGGAACACAGAACAUAAUUAUGCUGUUCUUGUCUGUUUGGGAAUUACUAUGGGAAUAUCCAGGCUAAAAAGAAACUAGAGCGGGGGGGGACGCCUUGGUGGCUCAGCAGUUGAGUGUCUGCCUUCCGCUCAGGGUGUGACCCCAGGGUCCCAGGAUCGAGUCCCAUGUUGGGCUCCCUGUGUGGUGCCUGCUUCUCCCUCUGCCUGUGUCUCUGCCUCUCUCUCUCUCUCUCUCUCUCUCUGUAUCUCAUGAGUAAAUUAAAAAAUUAAAAAAAAAUCUUAAAAAAAAAAAAAACCUCAAAAUAACAGCCAUAAUGGUGAUGAUACAGAAACCAGAUGAGACUUCAUUAAUGGAGGAGAAGACAACUAUUUGAAAUGCUACUGACAGGUAAUGAGGAAUGAAGAUCUACAUGUGCCCAUUAGACCUGGCAACAUGAGCUCAUUGGUGAGUUUAGCUUUAAUUAUUUUGGUGCAGCAGUGGGGAUGGAAAGGAAAGGAGAAUGCGGUUAGUUGAAGAGCGAAUAACUGUAGAUAACUUUUUGAAGAAGUUUAGGUGGGAAGCAGAAGAAAGGGCUGGUGGCCCAGAAAGGAUUUCCUUAGUUUAAGAUGACAAUAAUGAGAUCAUGUUGAAUGUCAAUAUUGGAAAAAGACACAGGAGAGUGGGAGAGGCUGAAGAGACAGGAAAAAGGUAGAUGAUCUCAAAACUAAGAAGGUUAAAAUUGGGUAGGCUCCAUUUCAAUCUUACUGUUUUACGGCUGAGGAAAGCUGAAGCCCCCUAAAAGGGCCACAUGAUGAAUGACAAAAGAUCUGAACUCAAGGCUAUAGCAACCUAUACACUACAGUUUGUUUUAAAUUAUUUUUUCUUUUGUUACACGAGAUUUCUUUCUUUUGUUAUAUAUGCUCAAAGUGUAAAAUAGAAAAUAGAAAUCAGGGAUCCCUGGGUGGCGCAGCGGUUUAGCGCCUGCCUUUGGUUCAGGGCGUGAUCCUGGAGACCCUGGAUCGAAUCCCACAUCGGGCUCCCGGUGCAUGGAGCCUGCUUCUCCCUCUGCCUGUGUCUCUGCCUCUCUCUCUCUCUCUCUCUCUCUCUAUGUGUGUGUGUGACUAUCAUAAAUAAAUAAAAAUUAAAAAAAAAAAGAAAAUAGAAAUCACAUGUAAUCCUACUAUGUGGAAGUAAUUUCUAUCAAUAAUUUAGGGUAGUUCACAUCAGUCACCAAGAAUUAUUUUUAAAAAGACAUCCCCUAUCUACUUAGCACUAUGUGGCAUUAAACAGAAAAAGGCAUUCUGGCCUAAUAAUACCUCAUUAAUGCAGUUAAAUCCACCACUGAUCAGAGAGGGAUUCAAUCUUCUCUUUUAAAUAAGUAGUACAGUGUAUUUUCUUUUUCAAGCCUGGUAGAUAAUAGUCAAAAUAGUUCCCCACAUCGAGUGCUAGUAAGUUAAUUCAGUCAAGAGACGGCUGUUGAGCUGAUUAGCAGCUAUCAUGUUAUCAUCAGGACAGAUGAGAUUCACCGGGAACACAAUUAGCUUACGUCAGUGCUGUGUGCAAUAGAAAGCCAUCGAUAAAAUUGAGACUCUGGAUCUGGCAUUCUUUUACAAAUACUGUGUACAUCUGUAUUCAUGCUGCUGCAAAAAAACCAGGAGAUGAAUCAAGCAAACACCUUCAGCAAGCACCAGAUGGAGCUGCUGUCUAAGCCACAAAGCCCUAACUGGCAGGCCUUCAUUUUUCAACACUAAUUAUGUUUGGAGACAAAGAUGUGCACUUAAAGCCACUGUCAAAACUAUUUUAACUCCUAACGGGCUCUCAGAAAGAGAAGCCGUACCAGAUCGGAUGUAGCUCUGUCCAAGGAGCAAUUCUUGGGCUUUACUGCCUUUGUGAAAUAACCUCAAUGGCACUCGGUAACUAGCAACUUUGUCUGCUCAACACUGACCCCGCCAAAUUGGGAAACCCUAGUCGCCAAAGUUAUGCUUGAGAAAGAAAAUAUAUGUCUCCUGAGGCACUUAAGGAAAUAGGACAGUCUACCUGGUACCUUCUAUUUCUCUGCCGAGACAGGUCUGAUGUGGAGUACCCAAAUGGAGUGUUUGAUAAGAAAAACCCCUUUGCUUCCACAUUCCUUACAAUCUCAAAGCAAAUCCUACAGACGGAAUGGUCGAUGAGAGCGCUGAAUGGAGCUGCCCCGAGAAGCUAACCGAGAUUCCACGAUCUGAAAUCCGAUGUCGUGUUUGACAGUUUUCAAGACCAAAGCCCUUCAGGAUACAGAUGAGGCUACUGAAGAGUAGCCUAUUUCACUUCAAGUCAUGACAGCUUUUUAAGACCUUAUUACUGUUUUUCACUCUCUCUACUGCUAUACAGACAACGACAAUAAUUAGUUUGCUUCGAGUCCAACAGUUCCGAGCAGAUUUGAUACAAAACGACUAAAUCCACCCUGGAUUUCAAUCUUGGAAUAAACAGGCCCGCAGAAAGAGCUGGAGCUCCUCAAGCUGGAUGUAAUUCCCCAGUCGGCGGAGGGGGGACUGUGUAGGCGGCACAUUAGACACCAUAUAAGGAGGAUUUCCUAAAGGCACCCAAGGAGAAUCUGUUAAUAAUGGAGGAGGACGGGGAAUGAAGUGCUAAGCUCCUUCCCGAUCCUAUGACUCCGGAGGCCAUUAUCUUUCAUCAUAAAAUCUGUCCCACUGCUAUAGAGACAGAGUCCAGAGUCCUCAGGGCGGGACACGGGCUUUUAAGGACACUGUCGGGGAGGAGCCGCCGCCUCUAUGGCAUCCCGCACAGUGGUCCAUCUCCAGGAUCCCAGGGCAAAUGAACAAGUCCAGGUUCUCGUCAGGCCGCUGUAACGGAACACGUGGGCCACUGUUCCACGGGAAGGGAAGGACAGGGGAGGACACUGCCGCGUGUUCCCCACCGCCGCUCCCAACCUUCCCUCGUUCCACGGCGACACCGCGGAGCCCGUAGCUCGGCUGCCUGCCAAGCCCCCGCCAAGGCCCUGGUCCAGGACUGAGCGGGCGCAGAGGAAGCGAAAGCAAAGCGGCAGGAAAAGCCUUUGCGGGAGAUAAAACAGCUUUCGUUUGGAACAGAAAUGGAAAUUCCAUGAGUAACAGGAACCUUCCUAAUUUGAGAUCUGACCCCGGCCCCACCCCUCCGUGGAGGAAAAAAAAGAAAAUCCCUUCUUUGCCAUCACAGCACCGGGCAAGACCUUAAGACGUGAGGUUCUCCUGUUUAUAGACUAAGGCAAAGUAAGACCUGCUUAAUUUGGAAAAUUCAACUAAAGCUCUGUUGAGAGGAGGGAGCCCAUCGGCUUCCACUGUUCCACCGCCAGCUCCUCCCGACCACUCUCUGCCCUGCCACGGGGCGGCCGCGUCCCGGCCACGUGACGACGCGCUUAGCUCCCACCUCAUGGAGUUCACAGUCUUUGACGCGCCAGUCAAAUAGUAAUAAUAAUUAUUCUCAUUAACUUGUUAAUAACUAGUUUUAAGAUUGUAAGUUCCAAAAGGUACAGUGAACCCGCCUCAGAGCUCCUGCUUACGAAGCUAUGAAUCAGAGAAGAGGCUAAAAUCUCGUCUAACAAUAGCCAAGGGCCCCACAAUCUUUCCCAGCUUUAUUCUGAUCACGAGCUGUCCCUCUGCUUGGCAUGUAUUGCCUCUGAUGCUAUUUCAUUUGCCAGAACUAUUUAGCCUUUAAGAUCCAGUUCAAACUUCACCCAUGUGAUGAGGCUUCACCUGACCUCCUAAACACCAUGUGGUGCGGUAGUUACAGAAGUUCCUGGGAGCAAGGCUGUGUCCUUUGCACU
rnacentral:lncRNA from 1 species